rnacentral:rRNA from 1 species
AGCUCCAGUAGCGUAUAUUAAAGUUGUUGCAGUUAAAAAGCUCGUAGUUGGACUUAUGGUCUGGCGCGCUUGGCCCGCUCCCAUUGGGAGUGAGUGCCGAUGCGCGCUUACCAUCCUUCCAGAGAACGUUUCUACCCUUAAUUGGGCCGGAUUCGCGAUCUGGAUCGUUUACUUUGAAGAAAUUAGAGUGUUUAAAGCAGGCUUGUGCCAUGAAUACACCAGCAUGGAAUAAUAAUUUAGGACUUUGGUUCUAUUUUGUUGGUUUUCUGGACCGAAGUAAUGAUUGAUAGGGAUAGUUGGGGGUGCUAGUAUUCAGCGGCCAGAGGUGAAAUUCUUGGAUUCGCUGAAGACUAACUUAUGCGAAAGCAUUCACCAAGGAUGUCUUCUUUAAUCAAGAACG